AGUGUUGGUCGUGACUGAGCAGUCCUCAUGGGAGGGUGGCAAAGCAGUGAUCUGAAGCAUGCUUGAGGCAAGGUUUGUGAAGGGAAGAGACUCCCCCAAACACUGCAUUCUUUGGAACCCCAGGAGAGAAGCCACUCCCCCUGCCUUCUAGGAUGAGGUUGCCUCUCUCUCCAGUGAAGAAGCCCUGCUGCUCUGGGCCACUCCAAGAUUCUUCACAUUAAGACCCUUGCCUGUUACUGAAGCUGACUCUAAGCCACAAAGGUUGUUUCUGAAGCCAGCAGGCCAGUAGGUCUUUGUGUAGCUGGGUUCUGAGUUUAAGCUGGGAUGUCCUCUUGGCUGCAUUCCAUCUUCCCCCUGUGCAAUGCAUGGUGAUUCUAAGUGUGUUCUAUGUGCCUGGCACACCACGCUCCUGGCCAGGCACACAUCUGUUGGUGCAUGACUCUCUUUCUCUUGCAUGUCUUUUGUUCUCCUCAACACUUACAAACACAGCUUUGCAGCCCACUCCCCCAUUCACCCCAGCACAUUCCCACCAUACUCCCAGCCCUGGCCAUGGCUCAGAAGAUGCCCUGUGGUAAAGUAAAAGGGAAUAAAUGCCAGGUAUCUGAAUUUAGUGUCUCUGGGAUUCUCACCUGCAUUCUCUUCUUUUGGGGCCACCCAGCUAGUGGGAUUCUCUAGGGAGGAAAGUGGAGAAUUAAUGCCACAAGCCAGGCAGAAAGCCCAGCAGGAGCCUGCUUCCUUACCAUGUAAGAAAAGUCAGAAAACUGUGUUUGCAGCCAGGGCCUCUGCAGCGCUGCAGGGAGGGGCUGUGAGCCGGCAAACCAUCCCCAAGACACCUCACAAUGGCUGAUGCCUCUGCAGGUGUGCUCUCUGGGCACCAUGUGCUCUGCUUCAUUGCUAAACCCCUCAGAGUUCCUUUGUGGCUCUGCUGCCUGCUGGGAAGCACCACAGAGAGCCAGCAGAGAGAGGUCCUGACCUGUUGUGUCAAAAAACUCUUACCAUAGAAGAAAGGAAAAGGCCACCAAGUGCGUCAGAGCCUCCUUCUCUUGCCUGCAUUUGUUUCCCUGCCCAACACACAGGGUCUCUCUGCUUCUCUACUGUCCCAGGCCCACAGGGGGCCGUCACUCACUGUGUGCGGCCAUAUCCAGCCUGCCUCCCCCUUUUCCACAUACUUUCUCCCCUCGCCAGCCCCCCCAUCCUUCUCUUGGGCACAUCCAGGAAAUCUGACCUGGACAAAACUGGUCAUAAGGAGGAAGAAACAGGAGUAGACCCUGGAGAAGCAUCGAGACGAGGGUAUUCUAGUCAUCCUCCCAAAGGGGACAGCUGCAAUCCUCCAAUCCAUAGAAAUUCACAGACUGUGCCUUGCCACCUGUGGCCUUGACCCCUUCAGUUUAUUCUUUAUGCUAAUUCCAGAGCAGUGUUUCUAUGAUUCCACACUCAUCAUGACACUAAUCUAUGUGAUUCCUACAGCCUUCAUGAAACUUCCCAACUGCUUGGUAUAACACUCCCUACAUUUCAGAGUCUGCUUGCUAUCUGCCUCCUCAGCCUCUUUUCCUGACACAUGUUCCUGUGUUUCUCCUCACUCCCUGCCACCACUCCCCACUCCAUGCAACACAAGCACACAGACACUACACAUACUCAUGGUCAUGUAAGCGAGUGUGUGUGAACCACAUUCUCUUUCCUUUCCAUCCUCACAUACCCUCUGCCUCUAUGCCUAAUGUGCUCUCCACCCAAAUCACUGCCACCCAUUG